rnacentral:rRNA from 1 species
GAUGAACGCUAGCGGCAGGCCUAAUACAUGCAAGUCGAGGGGUAGAGAAGAGCCUGCUUUUCUUGAGACCGGCGCACGGGUGCGUAACGCGUAUGCAACCUACCUUUAUCAGGGGGAUAGCCUCUCGAAAGAGAGAUUAACACCGCAUAAAAACACAGUACGGCAUCGUACAAUGUUCAAAUAUUUAUAGGAUAAAGAUGGGCAUGCGUGACAUUAGCUAGUUGGUGAGGUAAGGGCUCACCAAGGCGACGAUGUCUAGGGGAUCUGAGAGGAUGACCCCCCACACUGGUACUGAGCCACGGACCAGACUCCUACGGGAGGCAGCAGUAAGGAAUAUUGGUCAAUGGGGGCAACCCUGAACCAGCCAUGCCGCGUGCAGGAAGACGGCCCUACGGGUUGUAAACUGCUUUUAUACGGGAAUGAACCCCUUUACGUGUAAAGGGUUGAAUGUACUGUAAGAAUAAGGAUCGGCUAACUCCGUGCCAGCCGCCGCGGUAA